GGUGAGGAUGACCGUGGUGAGGAAGCCGUGCUGAGGUGAGGAUGGCCAUGGUGAGCAUGGCCAUGGUGAGGAUGACCAUGGUGAGGAAGCCGUGCUGAGGUGAAGAUGGCCAUGGUGAAGAUGGCCAUGGUGAGGAUGGCCAUGGUGAGGAUGGCCAUGGUGAGGAAGCCGUGCUGAGGUGAGGAUGGCCAUGGUGAGGAUGGCCAUAGUGAGGAUGGCCAUGGUGAGGAAGCCGUGCUGAGGUGAGGAUGGCCACGGUGAAGAUUGCCAUGGUGAGGAUGAGCACGGUGAGCAGUCCCACGGGGAGGAAGCCGUGCCGAGGCUGAGGAUGGCGGCGGCGAUGAAGGACCGGCUGAGGCGGACUGCGAGCACG